AGGACCUUCCCUUUUGAGUCUGAGAUAAAAGAUCAGCUGUCAUUUUGUUUUGACUUAUCAGGACUCUUCAGUUCAACUUCUCAAAAUGAGGCUCCCUGCUCAGCUCCUGGGGCUGCUGAUGCUCUGGAUCACAGGAUCCAGUGGGGAUGUUGUGAUGACCCAGACUCCACUCUCCCUGUCUGUCGUCCCUGGAGAGCCGGCCUCCAUCUCCUGCAAGUCUAGUCAGAGCCUCAAACAUAGUGAUGGAAAAACCUAUUUGUAUUGGUUCCUACAGAAGCCAGGCCAGUCUCCAAAGUGCUUGAUCUAUUUGGUUUCCACCCGGGUCUCUGGAGUCUCAGACAGGUUCAGUGGGAGCGGGUCAGAAACAGAUUUCACCCUGAAAAUCAGCAGAGGGGAGCCUGAGGACGUUGGAGUCUAUUACUGUGUGCAAGCUCUAUAUGCUUCUCCCACAGUGGUACAGGCCUCAACAUAAACCUCCCUGCAUGGUGUGGCCCAGCUGCCCACAUGUGCAGCCUGUCUGGGGAGCAGACACAGCAGAUUCUCUGAGUCUGUCUAAGAGGAAGAUGUUAGAGAACUCAGGGGAAUAGUUGGCAGCUGAGGACUCUGGACCAUGAGCGCUUCCCCUGCACCUGAGGAACCACAUGUUAAGUCGCAUCAGCAGCACAGCCUUGGCACGGCUGAAGCAGCAGGAGAAUGGAGGGGUCCAGGUGCCCUCUAAGAAACCAGUCAUGAGGAACUAAAAGCUGAAUGAGAACUCAUGCUAAUCCUCCCGCAUCACAUACAUUCAUCAGCUAAAUUCAUUCAGAACAACACAUAACACAUAAUGGAGGCUGAUUCAUGCCAACUCAAAACUACACUUUUUUUUUAUUAGGUUCAGUAGUUGCUAGCAUGCAUGCAGCAGGGUAAUAUUUAGUGAUAUUAAGACACAGUUUUAUUUCCCUGCCCCAUCUUCCCACUUCCACUCUUUCUAAAUACACGUCUCUCUCAAUAUGGGGGCAGCACAGGAUUUUAUACCACUGUCCUCAGUGAAAUAGUGAGAAAAACUAUUCAGGGCUGGCCCGGUGGUGCAGCGGUUAAGUUAGCACGUUCUGCUUCA